CUACAAGAGUUUUGAAAGGCAUUGUUUUAUGACGUGGUCUCUUGUGGAUAUAACAACACGCUUGCUUCACGUUUCGUAUUUUUACAGGAUUCAAUCACAAAGGC
ensembl:lncRNA